UUCUCGCUCGACUCGUUACCCUUUUUGUGACCUCCGUCUCAAAACUUCCUUUUUGCUUCGCUCUCUCCGAUCGAGUUGCAAAGCGUUCGAAGAUAUCUCCAGAUUCUACUCAGGCUUUUAAUGUUCAAACCAGUAAAGAUUUACAUCUUGACGGGGUGGUUGGUCAGGUGCAUGCAAUGACUGUUGCAAAUGGAAUUCUUUUUGCUGGAACAAGUUUUGGCAGUAUAUCAGUCUGGAAAGCUACCGACUCUGAGUCUGAUCUUUUCAAUACCUCACAUCUCUCGAGGGACAUCACAGUGGUGAAGUCACUUGUUUUGUUGUUGGAGGUCAACUGCUAUACUCUGGUUCUGUCGAUAAAACAAUAAAGGUGUGGGAUCUCAACACCCUGCAAUGUAUAACGACCCUGAAACAACAUACCGACACUGUCACGUCACUCUUAUAUUGGGACAAGUGUCUGAUAUCGUCUUCCUUGGAUGGGACCAUUAAAGUUUGGGCUUGUUCUGAAAAUGAUGUUUUGAAAGUUACUCAUACACGCAGACAAGAACAGAGUGUUGUUCAUGCUCUUUGUGGGAUGCACGAUGCAGAGGCCAAACCGAUCAUAUUCUGCUCUUACCAAAAUGGAACAGUUUUGAAGAAAGAGGAAAUAUUUUCUCUACGCACACAAUCCGUUUAAAAUACUGAUUUUUUCUGUAUUUUAUUUCAAUCCGUUUUGUUUCUUCUUCCUCGGGUUUCGAAUCUAAUCCUUGGAAGCUUUUCUCCGCUUCGUCGAGAUUCUAUUUUGGGGACAUUGUCCCGAGCAAAAUUGUGAACUGUUGGGAUGGUAGUGCAUGCAUAUUGGGAAUUGGAAAAGAGGUUGCGAGACAUAAAAGAACCAUCGGCUUCAAAACCCAAAAAAGAUCAUGGGCAGACACUAAUCUAAUAGUGUUCUGUCAGAUUCUAUUUUGGGGACAUUGGCCCGAGCAAAAUUGUGAACUGUUGGGAAUGGUAGUGCAUGCAUGUUGGGAAUUGGAAAAGGGGUUGCGAUUUGUUGGAUGGGAAUGACCCCUACGGCUUAACAAGUCUUAAGACAAAAGACGUAAAAGAACCAUCGGCUUAAUGAGACAUAAGACCAACGGCUUAAUGAGAUAUAUGACAAAGGAUAAAGAGUCAAAGGGGAAUGACUAAAAAGUCUUAAGACAAAGACUAGUCAGAGAAAACUAAAGAGUUGUACCAUCGGCUUUGAAUCAGACCAACGGCUUAAUGAGAUAUAUGACAAAGGAUAAAGAGUCAAAGGGGAAUGACUAAAAAGUCUUAAGACAAAGACUUGAAAGAAAACCAAAGAGUUCACAAUUUUGUGUACCAUCGGCUUAAUGAGACAUAAGACCAUCGGCUUAAUGAGAUAUAAGACAAAGGGGAAUGAUUAAAAAAGUCUUAAGACAAAGACUUGAAAGAAAACCAAAGAGUUCACAAUUUUGUGUACCAUCGGCUUAAUGAGACAUAAGACCAUCGGCUUAAUGAGAUAUAUGACAAAGGAUAAAGAGUCAAAGGGGAAUGACUAAAAAGUCUUAAGACAAAGACUAGGCAGAGAAAACUAAAGAGUUGUACCAUCGGCUUUGAAUCAGACCAACGGCUUAAUAAGAUAUAUGACAAAGGAUAAAGAGUCAAAGGGGAAUGACUAAAAAGUCUUAAGACAAAGACUAGACAGAGAAAACUAAAGAGUUGUACCAUCGGCUUUGAAUCAGACCAACGGCAUAAUGAGAUAUAUGACAAAGGAUAAAGAGUCAAAGGGAAUGAUUAAAAAGUCAUUAAGACAAAGACCAGAUAGAAAACUAAAGAGGUCGUAAGACAAGACUGUGACUUGUUGGUUGGUAUAAACGACCAGCAGAGAAAAGAAGGCUUAAGAGAAGAAGAGGUAAGUAUAUGGCAUUCACUUAAUAUGAAAGACUAACGAAUUCUGAUUUGCGCAGGUAUGUGCUUCUGGAGAUGUUCAGAUUUUAAGAUGGGUAGAUUCAAGUGUAGCAGACUUCAUUGACAGGUUUAUAUUAUCAUUGAUGCCAAGGAUAAUUUUUGAGCGUAGCAGGGUUUAUGAUCAGUGAACGAAGAUGUGGAAGAUAAAGGUCAAUUAUAGAGAAAUGAGAACUUGAAAAUCAAACAUAUUCAGAGAGUACUCUUUUGAAGAAAUCAGCAAUGGAAAUUGGCUUUAGAAUAUAGAUUAGAAUGCUGAAGUCAGGGGCGGAUCUAGGGUAUUAGUGGGUGGGGCAAGUGCCCCAUACUACUUUUUAAAAAUUAACCAGUAAUAGGUUCAUAUAAUUAUAUUUUAUAGUCAUUUGGCAAAUAAGCACCCAAGUGACAUUGUAUGGUCGUGAGUUCAACCUCUUAUCCCCCUUUAAACUGUAUAAUUUUCUCUUUUUUUUUUUUUUUUUCCUAAGAUUAAUUUUAGACUUGUUCUAUGUCUUUGUUUAACCCUUUCCUUUCCAUUAUUUCCUUGCUAUCAGAUGCAUUUUGCAUU